GACGAACGCUGGCGGCGUGCUUAACACAUGCAAGUCGAGCGGUAAGGCCUCUUCGGGGCUACACGAGCGGCGACCGGGGGAGUAACACUUAGAUGACCUGCCCUUACCUCUGAGAUAAGCAUAGCUACCUGGGUCUAAUACCGGUACCGACCUUUCCUCUCAUCCGGAUUGGUGGAAAGUGAUUUCGGAUGGGGAUGGUCCUGCGGCCUGUAAGCUUGUUGGUUGGGUGAUGGCCUACGAAGACGGCGACGGGUAGCCGGCGUGAGAGGGCGACCGGCCAAACUGGGAGGGAGGCACCGCUCAGGAUCCUACGGGAGGCAGCAGUGGGGAAGAUUGCGCAAGGGGCGGAAGCCAGACGGAGCGACGCCGCGUGGGGGAUGACGGCCUUCGGGUUGUAAACCUCUUUCGACCCGGACGAAUUUGGACGGUAGGGGUAGAAGAAGCACCGGCUAACUACGUG
rnacentral:rRNA from 1 species